AGUUUUAUCACGGACCAGGACUGAUCAACUAAAUGUGAAUAGAUGUGUUCUAUAUCAGCUUCCCUAGAACACAAAGCCUGAAUCAAGGAUGAAAGGAAGAUGCUUUUCGGCAAGGCAUAAAUUCAGAGGAUCCAGGAUGAGGACAAAGGCAAGUGAGCUAUGCAAGAUGUAAAAUGAUGUUUCAACAACACAAAGCUGAUUGUUUGGCAGUUGCAUCUAUUUCAUGCAUAGAACUUCUCCAGAUGGACUACCAAGAAACACUGUGCUUCAAAGAAUUUGAUAAGGACUAUGAAAGGUAGAAUUAACAAUGGGGAUAUCAACAAGAAAUCAGAGAUGAGUAGAAAACAACAUUAUAGGAUUUUUUUCUGCUGGGAUACCCUGCCUCAACCUGGCUGUGUCUCUCCAAUGAAGGUCACUGCUCCCCUCAAGACAGCCCUCUCAAGAAAAUUUGCUCCUUCUGGGUCCUAGUAAUCACUCUCUCUCUCCUCAUUCCCCUGGGCCUAGA
rnacentral:lncRNA from 1 species